rnacentral:rRNA from 1 species
AUUGAACGCUGGCGGCAUGCCUUACACAUGCAAGUCGAACGGCAGCGGGCCCUUCGGGGUGCCGGCGAGUGGCGAACGGGUGAGUAAUGCAUCGGAACGUACCCGGGAGAGGGGGAUAACCGGCCGAAAGGCUGGCUAAUACCGCAUGAACUCGGAAGAGCAAAGCGGGGGACCUUCGGGCCUCGCGCUCUCGGAGCGGCCGAUGUCCGAUUAGGCUAGUUGGUGGGGUAAAGGCCCACCAAGGCGACGAUCGGUAGCGGGUCUGAGAGGACGAUCCGCCACACUGGGACUGAGACACGGCCCAGACUCCUACGGGAGGCAGCAGUGGGGAAUCUUGGACAAUGGGCGCAAGCCUGAUCCAGCAAUGCCGCGUGGGUGAAGAAGGCUUUCGGGUUGUAAAGCCCUUUCGGCGGGGAAGAAAUCGGUCAGGCGAAUAGUCUGGCUGGAUGACGGUACCCGCAGAAGAAGCACCGGCUAACUACGUG